UAUCUUAUAAACCUUCUUUAAUAUUAAAAUUAAUAAUUAUCAUUCUAGAAAUAUAAAAAUGAAUUCAUUUUUAUUCUUAGUUUUUUUUUCAAAGUCUAUUCUAUACAUAACUAGGUUAACUAUUGCCAAUUUGAGGAAGCCAAGACUUUCAAAAAUUAAAAUAAAUAUAAGUACUUCAUCCUCCCUGAACAUAAAUAUAUCCUAAUUAUUUUAAAUCUGUGGUAGGUACAUUUCAAGUGGGGUAUAAAAUAUCAAGUUUUUAAAUAUAUACAGUAUACACAUAUCUGCCCUUCUAAAAAAAAUGUACGUAAUAUUCAUCACUGAUAAAAUCUAAAAUGUUAUGUUAUUUUUAACGAUCUUAUCAUUAUAAAUAUAUUGGUAUUUAGGCAUAUGAUUAUAUCACAGUCAUCAUUUUGAAUUUUCUAUGGUUUAAUAUAAAUUAUAAUAAUUCUUUCUUGUAGGACUAGAAUACAAUAAAUUUAUCUAAUUGAUAAUAUUACACGGAAAAAAGUGCAUUGGUAUUGUAUAAGAUCAUAAACAAAUUCAGAAAAUGUUUGAAGUUAAUUUAGCAUUAAUAUUUUGGGUCGGAUAGGCCAGUCAAGCAUUAGAGAAAAUAUAAGGGCCGUUAACAUUUUGGACUGGUAGAAGAAAUUGACCGCAAUGUUGAGUAUAAUUUUUAUGACAGCUAUAAAAUAGAAUACUGUCAACAAAUGA